AGUAUGUAGCAGGAUGGGGAAAAAAUGGUGAAUCCUUUCUGUGAUGGACAGAAGCCCUGUCUUCAGCUUUGGGAAUUUUAAUCCAACUUGUUGUAUUAUCUACGAUUAGAUCAACAUCUGCAAGUGUCAAAAUGCUUCUGGAGAAACAGGAUUACCUGGGAAGUCAGAUGAGGCUUCAGUGUUGUCCACGUUGCAAAGGCAUGGCGUAACCCUGCCCAUGCAGGAGGUCCUAGCUCAUUUUGUGCAUGGGAAAAAGGCUCCAGAGCCUACAGACCACUAAGUGCCUCCUCUAGUAUUUGCAGCAGCAUGAUCUCCUGUUGACCUGUUAUGCCAUCUAGAGAACUUGAGGCCUUUCCAUCUCAGCAGAUGUCCCUCGGUGUUCUUCAGAUUGAGCUCUUUGCCACAUCAACAGUAGCUGUGGAGACAUUCUUUCUCAGGAAGCAGUGCAGGGCUAAGGACGGUUGAGCACUUAGACUGCAAACACAAAUGGUGUCUUUUUCUUCCUUGUGGGUAUGUUAAUCCAAACAAGCUAUUAAAGAGCUGAGCCAGUUCUCACAUAUUUAAUCAUGUGUCUUAUUUAGGUUUUGGUUUAGGUUUUUUUGCUCUGCAAGUCUGAACAGCUGGUCCUGCUCAUUCUCACCUUGUUCCUGUUUGUGCUGGUCCUGGCUUUUUCCUGUGAUACAUCUCUCCCUUGUGAAGUAAGUGGUGCUUUAAAAAGAAUUCAGCAGAAGCACAAGGGCCAAAGCGGUGUGACCAUUUGUCUUCAUGUGCAAAAAGACAUUCCAAUGGAAAUUCUGAAGAAGUUCUUCGUUUCUGACCUCUUCUUCUAUCUGACAGAACGAGCCUUCCUGAAAUACAGCAAUGGGCAGUCCUUCCUGUAGACCUUAGGAGAGCUGUGGUGGCAGCAAGCACAGAGGCACACUGUCAAACACAAGAGGACAGGCUCUCUGGUAGUACACACCUUCUGCAAGAGACUGAGAUCUGUGGAUCCAGAAAACGAAUGUGUGCUGCACCUAUGACGGCCUCUUCCUAGCAAAGAAAGCGCCCAUGUACAGGAGGCAUCUCGAACAUCUUGGAGUUUACAUAGAAAAACAGCUUCUUUUAUACAACAGAAAGUCAGUAAGAAUAUCUUUGCACUGGCUAUCAUCUGCAUUAGCCCUACCUGCCUACAAACUGCAUGCCAUCUCCAUGGAGGAUUGAAUUCCAAGAGAGAAAAUGGAUAUGAAAGAAAAUUGCAUGGUUUGAAGCAGAUGUAUCCGAAUCAGUCAGCUUCUGCUACAGGAAACUAUGCACAGAUUUGGGUAAUUUCAAAAUAUUAUAUAUGAGGAGAAAAGACUUCAACAGAUAAAAAGUGCUUGCUUGCACAGGACAUGGUCUGUGCGCAUAAACACAUAUAAAGGCAGCAGUGCACAAAAACUGGAAGCAAACACAUGUAGAGGGUGUUUUUGAGACUCCAACUGUUACAGCUACAGCCUUUUGGGAACCUGGCAACCCUGUGCAACCCUUGACAGAUCUGUUUUUACAACAAAGCAUGGGGCCGAAUUGCCAACUUUGAUGUCUCUUCAUAAAGGAGGAAUCCAAACUUGCAGGAAGUAUGUCUUCCGUCUGAGAGGAGAGCAAGUCAGAACCAUUGGAGACUUGCACCACCUCCGUGCAACUUUGCAUGUCUUGUUUCCAUGUCUCUCCCUGUCCCAUUUCCUUGCAGCCCUUCUUACUCAGGUGUGGUGCAGUGGUCCUACAGCACAGAUCUCCCACUACAGCCGUCCCCAGUUUGUCUACCCCUUGCUCCCAUGAAGUCCAGCCAGUUCACCUCCUGCAAUACGUUUUUCUCUGCAGAUUACUCUUUCCCUAUUGCGUCUGGUACCUGGCACAAGCCAUCUGAUUCCCAUACUACAGAGAUCACUUGUAAGGUUAUGGGGAGGAUGCUGCUAAUCUGUCUCAGGAAAGCCUGAGUUUGACUCCCCUCACCCUAAUCCUAGGCAGUCUGUUCUGGGGGUAUUGUAUUUUUCUGCAUUCCAGUCAAGGAGAGGAAAGAGGCAACUUUGUUCUCUGGAAAGGCUGACAGGCUAUCCCAUGAGCACAGUUUGAAAGCACUUUGUACAGCAGCAGUUCUAUUACUUAUAUACUUGAUGAUUGCACAAAGGUUACAUGGUUUCAGAUUUCCUAACCAUAACCCUUUCUGGGAAUAUGGAGCCAAAUUUUUGUCCCUGGCAGAUCACUAAAACCUUGAAGUUGUAAAUGAGACCAGCAUUUGACCUGUUUCUUACUAUUUUUCUUUAUAAGAA